CCUACGGGUGGCAGCCGUGGGGAAUAUUUGGCAAUGGGCGCAAGCCUGACCCAGCAACGCCGCGUGAAGGAAGAAGGCUUUCGGGUUGUAAACUUCUUUUCUCAGGGACGAAGCAAGUGACGGUACCUGAGGAAUAAGCCACGGCUAACUACGUGCCAGCAGCAGCGGUCAUACGUAGGUGGCAAGCGUUAUCCGGAUUUACUGGGUGUAAAGGGCGUGUAGGCGGGACGGCAAGUCAGAUGUGAAAACCAUGGGCUUAACCUAUGGCCUGCAUUUGAAACUGUCGUUCUUGAGUUCUGGGGAGGCAGACGGAAUUCCUAGUGUAGCGGUGAAAUGCGUAGAUAUUAGGAGGAACACCAGUGGCGAAGGCGGUCUGCUGGACAGCAACUGACGCUGAGGCGCGAAAGCGUGGGGAGCAAACAGGAUUAGAUACCCUUGUAGUC
rnacentral:rRNA from 1 species